CCUACGGGGGGCAGCAGUGGGGGAUAUUGCACAAUGGGGGAAACCCUGAUGCAGCGACGCCGCGUGUGGGAAGACGGUCCUCUGGAUUGUAAACCACUGUCCCCAGGGACGAAGAUGACGGUACCUGGGGAGGAAGCUCCGGCUAACUACGUGCCAGCAGCCGCGGUAAUACGUAGGGAGCGAGCGUUGUCCGGAAUUACUGGGUGAAAAGGGAGCGUAGGCGGGACUGCAAGUUGGGUGUCAAAUCUACCGGCUCAACCGGUAGCCGCACUCAAAACUGCAGUUCUUGAGUGAAGUAGAGGCAGGCGGAAUUCCUAGUGUAGCGGUGAAAUGCGUAGAUAUUAGGCGGAACACCAGUGGCGAAGGCGGCCUGCUGGGCUUUUACUGACGCUGAGGCUCGAAAGUGUGGGGAGCAAACAGGAUUAGAUACCCGGGUAGUC
rnacentral:rRNA from 1 species